rnacentral:rRNA from 1 species
UACAGAGGGGGCAAGCGUUGUUCGGAAUUACUGGGCGUAAAGGGCGCGUAGGCGGCUUUGCAAGUCAGAUGUGAAAUCCCCGGGCUUAACCUGGGAACUGCAUUUGAGACUGCAUUGCUAGAGUAUGGGAGAGGGCAGUGGAAUUUCCGGUGUAGCGGUGAAAUGCGUAGAUAUCGGAAGGAACAUCAGUGGCGAAAGCGACUGCCUGGACCAAUACUGACGCUCAUGUGCGAAAGCGUGGGGAGCAAACAGG